UACGGAGGGUGCAAGCGUUGUUCGGAAUCACUGGGCGUAAAGCGCGUGUAGGCGGCCUUUUAAGUCCGAUGUGAAAGCCCGGGGCUCACCCCCGGAAGUGCAUUGGAUACUGAAGGGCUGGAGUACCGGAGAGGAGGGUGGAAUUCCUGGUGUAGCGGUGAAAUGCGUAGAUAUCAGGAGGAACACCUGUGGCGAAGGCGGCCCUGUGGACGGAUACUGACGCUGAGACGCGAAAGCGUGGGGAGCAAACAGG
rnacentral:rRNA from 1 species